CCUACGGGUGGCAGCAGUGAGGAAUAUUGGUCAAUGGACGCAAGUCUGAACCAGCCAUGCCGCGUGCAGGAAGACGGCUCUAUGAGUUGUAAACUGCUUUUGUACGAGGGUAAAUCCCGAUACGUGUAUCGGGUUGAAAGUAUCGUACGAAUAAGCAUCGGCUAACUCCGUGCCAGCAGCCGCGGUAAUACGGAGGAUGCGAGCGUUAUCCGGAUUUAUUGGGUUUAAAGGGUGCGCAGGCGGAAGAUCAAGUCAGCGGUAAAAUUGAGAGGCUCAACCUCUUCGAGCCGUUGAAACUGGUGUUCUUGAGUGAGUGAGAAGUAUGCGGAAUGCGUGGUGUAGCGGUGAAAUGCAUAGAUAUCACGCAGAACUCCGAUUGCGAAGGCAGCAUACCGGCGCUCAACUGACGCUCAUGCACGAAAGUGUGGGUAUCGAACAGGAUUAGAUACCCCUGUAGUC
rnacentral:rRNA from 1 species